UCCCGCGGUGCAGCGGCCGGCCGGGUAGGCGCUAGGACCCCGAGCCUCGGCGGCGGCGGCGGCGGCGGCGCUGCCUUCACUCAUCUCGUCCUCGCUCCCGUCCUACCCCGUUCCGCGCUGGGUGGAGUCCAAGUCUGAUUGCGAGGGUCCGGAACGCCGCCUCGGGGGCUUGACUCCAGCCCCGGGGAUCCAGAACGGCGCCCGGGGGUCCCUACGUCUGCCUUGGGGGCUCGAGUCCCUCCCUGGGCGUCCGUGACGUCGCCCAGGGGUCUCCACGUCUGCCCUGGAACCUGGAGAGCCGCCGUGGGGGUCCCGGAAGCCGCCCAGGAGUCCCCACGUGUGCCCUGGGGGCUCUUGUCCAGCUCUGGGGGUCCCGGACGCCACCCAGGGGGUCCCCACGUCUGCUUUGGGGGCUCGAGUCUAGCCCUGGGGGUCCUGGACGCCGCCUCGGCGUCCCCGCGUCUGCCUUGGGGGCUCGAGUCUCGCCCUGGGGGUCCCCGAUGCCGCCUGGGGGUCCUCACGACUACCUUGGAGACUGGAGUUCCCCUUGGGAGUCCCGGACGCCACCCCGGAGUCACCGCGUCUAGCCUUGGGGGCUUGAGUCCAGCCCUGGGGGUCCCGGACGUCCCCGAGGAGCCCCCACGUCUGCCUUUGGGGCUUGAGUCCAGCCCUGGGGGUCCCGGACGUCGCCGAGGAGCCCCCACGUCUGCCUUUGGGGCUUGAGACCUGCUCUGGGGGUCCCGGACGCCGCCCAGGGUCUCGCUCUGUCACCCAGGCUGGAGUGCAGUGGCGUGAUCUCGGCUCACUGCAACCUCCGCCUCCCGGGUUCAAGCGAUUCUCCCGCCUCAGCCUCCCGAGGAGCUGGGAUCACAGGUGUGCACCACCGCGUCCGUCUCAUUGUUAAAUUUUUCCUAGAGACGAGGUUUCGCCACGUUGCCCAGGCUGGUCUCAAACCCCUGAGCUCAGGUGAUCCCCCCACCUCGGCCUCCGAAGGCGCUGGGCUUCCAGGCGUGCAGAGGGCUCUUCGUCUACACGCAUCACUGGAUUUUCUACCCACGGGGACACGUGACCCCAGCGAGGUGGUCAGGGAGUCGUCGCCGGCCGGCGCUGCAGCCCAGGGAUGAUGACGGCUCUAGGAGGGGUCCCACAGGCUGGUGACAGCGCGACUGAAGGCCACGCUCCAGUCAGGAGGCCGUCCCACGUGUGACCCCAGGUCUUCGCGCCCACUCCUGACCCAGGGUCCUGGCCUUCCACGUGUGACCCUGGUUCCGGCACUUGUCCCCGCCCCCUCUGUCCUGUUCCCCUCCUCUCUCCCCAUGCCCCCUCCUCUUUCCCCAUCUCCCCUCCCCUCCCCCCGACCCCCCUCCCCUCCCC